AAAACCCAAAUGAACCACCAACUGUAAUGGUCUAUUUUCUUGAGCUCAGAGCAACUAUGUGAACUCAGAAAGAAAUUAUAGGCUUUAAAUGAUCCUUAAUACCCUGCAUUUCAGUGUUACCUACAUACGCCACCUCAGAGGAUAGCAUUUCUGUAGUAGCCGUGGGUCUCACUCUGUCAUCCAGGCUGGAGCGGUGCCAUCACAGCUCACUGCAGCCUGGACCUCCCAGACUCAAGUGAUCCUCCCACCACAGCCUCCCAAGUAGCCAGGACUACAGGUGAGUGCUCUGCUAAGCUCUGCAACAAGUUCCAAGCUAGUAGUGGCCAGCUACUCAGCUUUCUCAGGAAACUCACCUUCUCUCCUUGGAGUGAUGGGACUGAGUCCCGCAAACUGUGAAAGCUGUCUUUGAUGUGGUCCCUACGUUUUCGUUCCAGUGCAUUAUGAUGAGCCCGUUUGUCAGCCUAGAAGAAUGGGAGAAAGAACACAUUAGGAAUGUCACUCCUUUUGCUUGGUACAAGGUGGGUGGGGUACAGCCUGGAAGUACACGCUGUCAGCACUGUCCCUGGCGAGUGGA
rnacentral:lncRNA from 10 species